rnacentral:lncRNA from 1 species
UUCUUUGCCCUCAGGAAACCUAGACGUCCCUCACAAUCAAUCGGAAGAGUGUUAAAUCACGACUGAAGAGCCUACAUAACCCUCAUUAAAUCGUCCUCUCAAAUCCCCCUUGCAGGUCCAAAUCCCCCUUGCAGGUCCAGGUUUCCACGGCAAUCAACAACCCCUUCAAAGAUCCCAAUCAGAUUAUUGGAACAUGGAACAUAGAAGUCAUGCCUUUUUAUAUGAAUCGAACCAUGGACCUUCAAACAAAAACUCAGUGAUGCGGUUUUUAUACUAGCUGGUUGUCCUUACCAAGUUAGAAACUUGAAGUCAUGCACCAAGGUUGAACUCAACUUUAUUUCACCUGAAAGUCUUGGCGAAUGCAUCCGCUUACAGAACUCUGUAUGCUUCCCAACAAUCACAGGGCCAAACAACAAAAAUUAAACAUUGGGAAAAUGGUGAUUUAUGCAUUACACCACGUUGUAUCGGAAUUGUCAGGAUUUAUAGAUUCAAAUGGGCCCGCUGAUGAUCUUCAAAAUCAAUUCGCACAGGAGCUCGACAUCUUUUGAUGAUUUUCCCUUUAUUUAUUAAGUACUUCAGUUCAUCGGUGAAUUUGAUGAUUAUUUAUGUUGUUUUGUGGAUCAAAGCCCACUGUUACCGACGAAGACGAUUCGGGUACAAAAACGAAAGAGAGAAGAAGGCCAAUUCUGAUUGAUAAAUUCGCAUCUAAAAGGCCAGCGGUUGACCCUAUGAUCGCUCAAGCGGUUUUGGCACCACCUUAACCCGGAAAGGCCCCCACUCCUGGAAAAUUUAAAGACAAUUUGGUAAAGAAAAGCGGUGCAGCGGCGCGUAGGCCGAAAGCUAAAGACGACGACAAUGAAAUUCACGAUGACGAGACGUCCGAGCUUAACGUUGCGAUCCCGGGUGCAAAAAAGGGUAGAAAGUGGAGUAAAGCGAGUAGGAAAGCGGUUAGAAUGCGGUUAGCGCGUGAGGCUGAGCCCGUUAAAGUUGAACUCAUGGAAGUUGAUGAAAUGGUAUGUUAAUCGAUGAAUUAGCGUAUAAUCUAAUCUGGCGGUUAGUGAAGGUGAGAUUCUCGGCCAUCUUUACGCAAAGGGUAUUAAGCCUAACGGGGUGCAAAAAUUGGAUAAAGAAAUGGUGAAGAUGAUAUGUAGAGAGUAUGAUGUAGAAGUUAUUAAUGUGGGUCCGGCUAAAAUAGAGGAAAUGGCGAAAAAGAAAGAGAUUUUGGAUGAAGACGAUCUUAAUAAUUUACAACAUCGACCACCUGUUCUCACUAUCAUGGGUCAUGUUGAUCACGGAAAAAAGUUGCAAGUUGCUAAAGGGCAUUCUGCACCAUGAACACCUAGAGAACAACCUGACACAAACACCUACAGAGUUGAACCAGAGGCCAGGGCCUUCAGGACGGCAGUCUAUUGGAGCUCCGACUGAGCCGAUGGAGGACACGUCUAUUGUCAACGAUGAAGGGUUGCUCAUGAUGCUAUUCAAGAAUAGUUAUUUAAUUAAGCGAGGAAGAUGACUCUAUGGAAACAAUACCCAAAAUUCUCAAGUAUAAUUGUGAAAUUAAAGAGGCAAAUGGGAGCUUGAUGAGUGAUUUGCUGUAAAUGUUGAAGAAAGCAGCAAGUUUAAUGCUUUUAAGGUACUAAAAAUGGGCGAAAAACUUAAGUAUUAGUUGUGUUUUUAAUAGACACCUUGGGAUUCUGGGGAACUGUUUUGUUAUAUAGAUACAAAAGCCUAUUAUUAUGAGAUGUAAUAUUCAUUCACAGUUUGUUGGAUUUUCUUUGUAUAUGAUGAAUUUGACUUGAUUUGGUUGAAUAUUGUGGAUAAAGAUUUGUUCUGAGCAUAGAUGAAACGGCUUAAGGUAGCUGGAACAUAUGUCGGAAACAAGAAGCGAGUUUUAGUGACACUAUAAUUUUCUUGAAACGGCUUAAGGUGGUUGUCUUGAGAAGCUGGCUCGAUCUUGAAACGGCUUAAGGUGGUUGGAACGUAUGUCGGAAACAAGAAGCGAGUUUUAGUGACACUAUAAUUUUCUGUGAA